rnacentral:lncRNA from 1 species
AAACCCAAACCAAAGGUUGUGAUACGCUGGAGUACCGUAACAUGGUGGGAAUUCACGUAUGAUGCCAAAGAGCCAAGUCACAGACUCGGUGACAAGUGCCUCAUUGGUGAGGACACUUGUCACUGUCGCAUCAGGCUAACAAAAACCAACUAAGACUCCCUAUAGAAGGCCUAACCCUCAUUCUCUAAAACGUAAUCUCUCACUAGAACAAUCCUAUCUCUAACUCUCAGAGCAGAUACAAGCUCUGCAACUCCUAUCACCUUUCCCGGUCGCAACCUACCGGAGAAGACGAUGGUUGCUGGCCAACAGCGGCGGCGCCACCUUCUUCUCCGGCGAACCCACACCCAAACCACCUAAACCUAAACACUAACCCCCCUAUUCUUGGUCCGGGAACACGAAUUCGGCCUUACUUCGUCUUGAAAACCUCUCAAACAACUGGAUCGGAACCUCAAGCGAGAAAAAAAAUCAAACUUCACCAAGAGCGAAAACCAACACAAACUAAACUGAGAACUCUCCUAACAAAACCAAAUUGAAGCAAGAACAAUAAGAGAAAACGAGCUCAAACGCGAACCCUAAAUUGGGAAUUAAACCCUCAACAAUAGUGAUUCUGUGCAAUUGGAAGGGGGUUUCUAAUGGGCUCAACAAGGCGAACACGAUGGUGUAAAGAUUGUAAACGAAAAAGGAGAAAGAAGUAUACUUGCUCGGAACCAGUCCGCCGGUGACAUCUUCUCCGCUGCAGUCUUCGACUUACUUUCAAAUGCUCUCCUUCUGUGCUCUUUAAUUCCUUUUGUUGUGUUUGAUUGAACAUGCCUGGAGUUUCAUGAGAAAACUCUGAGUCAUCUAUGUAGAAUUUUUCCAGAAUUUUUUUUUAAUAACAUAACACUUCUAUCUCCUCCUUUUUUCUAAGUCUAUUUGUGCCUUUUUGUAGGAGAGUUUCUUAGGAUUUUAAGGUGAGGUGUCUUUGAAUUUAGUGAGCUGGUUUCUUGCUGUUAGCAUCAAUCCUCUUUGUAUGAAGCAUAAACUAAAAGAUUACUAAUAAAGGAAAGUAAUAUUUGUAUCUUAUGUAAUAAUACUUAUUCCAUUUUCCUAUUAAAAACUCAAUUUCGCAUUGUAUAGAAAAUAUAUUGAAAUUGAUCAUAAUUUCAUUUGGGACUAUGUUCAUAAACAAAUUUUAAAUAUAAAAUUUGUUGAUACAAAUUAUAAAUGGGCU